GUGCAUCCCACCAAGAAGCAUGCAGGGGUGGAAUCCACACCAAGGUCUUUUAAUUAAACAAUUAAUUAUAUAACUGCAUAGUCAGGUACUUGGCAAUCUUUCACAAAGUAAGCACACCCCGAACUCGAAUCACUGCUAUUUAUAUACAGCAAACUUGUGAAACUCUCUCUGGCUACUUUUGUCUCUUGAUUGGCUCACCUAACUUAUCUCUACCGAGUUUGUGCAUUACAGAGGACUGGUAGGGGAGGGUGGGGUGGGGAACAAAUCUCACGUUUAGCAUUUUGAUGGGUGUGUUUUUAAUAUGUUAAUGACCCUUAAUGAGCAAAAGAUUACCAUUGGUAUUCUGGUAUCUUCCUUCAGCUGUUUUCCUCCCUGUUUUCUAGCUUUCAUCCCUUACCUCCUUUGUUUCUGCUAGCUUGAGGCUACCUCAUUUCUUCAAGGUUUCCUUGUCUUCUUCAGUUUAAGACUACAAUCUGAGAGAUCCUGAAGUUUAAACACCCUUCUUGUGAAAAGAAGGGGGAUCCGUGCAUCUUUUUCUUUCUUUUGUGAGAAAAGGAAGCUUAAAAAGAUGCGAAUAUAUGAAUAAGUAUCUGACAUGAUACAGGAUCCUUUCAGAAUGUCUUCUGUGGAGAAGUGAGAAAGUAAAUGUCCUGGAGCAUACAAUCCCAUGAUGAAGUCAGAUUCCCACAUAUCUGCAUUUGAUUCCAAAGUGGAGUGUUUUAACGAACCGAAAGAGACCAUCCCUGGCCCUGGAGCAUACCAGGUUACAAGUCUGCUGGAGUUCAUCAAGAUCUUCUGAUUGAUUUCUCUGCAUUGAUUGGUUAGGAUCACUGACUUCAAGGAUAUGUAAUGACGUGUAAUGCUGUAAACCAGAAGGAUUCAACAUGUAUGCUCUGUUCAUCAUUCGUUUUCUAUAGUAUAGACAGUUAAAAAUAGCAAUAACUGUAGUAAUUGUAAUGCAGAAUUACACAUAUUGUAGAGUACAAUAUGACAGCAGAAUGAAAUUGUUUGUGGAGUUGCUAGCCAUUACUUAGUUUUAAGUGUACAGAGCCUCUUGUUCAAAACUCUGCUAGAAUUUAACGUACUCUAAAAGAUUCAUUAGUCCUAUAAUUCUUUGAGAUAACUGUUGGGAGAAAAAGCAUUAGAAAGAGAAAAACCUCAUGCAAGGCACUUCUUAGUUCUGUGGCUGAAGAAGGCAAAUGGAGUCUAUCGUGUGUAGAGCUCAGUGUAAAUCUGUAUCUUUCAUUGCAUGAGAAUAUCAUGGAUGAGACAUUGCUCAUGAUUCAGGUGUAAGAGGACAUCAAGAAUGAAACAGAAUUGAAAUUCCUAUGCAACUUUAUUAAAUAAUUUCCUAUUAUUUCCUCUUGUAAUCUUCAAGCCUUACAUGUAAGAAUUUGAAGCGGAAGAACAUGUUAUGCAUAAAAAAAGACUGUUUUUUUACCAAUAACUUUAACAGUGACUUUUUCACAAGUAGAGGGUACUCUGACAUAGUAAGCAAAUAAAGUAAUGUUCCUAUCUUUGAGAGGGAGAGAG
rnacentral:lncRNA from 1 species